rnacentral:rRNA from 1 species
UACGAAGGGGGCUAGCGUUGCUCGGAAUCACUGGGAGUAAAGGGUGCGUAGGCGGACUUUUAAGUCGGGGGUGAAAUCCCAGGGCUCAACCCUGGAACUGCCUUCGAUACUGGGAGUCUUGAGACCGGGAGAGGUGAGUGGAACUGCGAGUGUAGAGGUGAAAUUCGUAGAUAUUCGCAAGAACACCAGUGGCGAAGGCGGCUCACUGGCCCGGUUCUGACGCUGAGGCACGAAAGCGUGGGGAGCAAACAGG